AGUUGGCAGGCUGCUGCGGGAGGCGGUGGCGGUAGGAAGCCGGAGACAGCAGGGUGACAGAAUUGGAAAAUAUUUAACUCUUAACAAAUGAAUUCCCCACUUGAACUCUGCCGAAUUCCUGUGCCACCUCCUCCUUUAGAAAACUGAUCUUAAUACAGAGAUAAAAGAGGAGUAGAAGGUAAAAGAAAAUGCUGGGAACUGACCGUUGUGUUGUGGAAGAAUGGUUAUCAGAAUUCAAGGCAUUACCUGACACUCAGAUCACCAGUUAUGCAGCAACUUUACACCGGAAAAAAACACUUGUACCAGCCCUCUAUAAAGUUAUUCAAGAUUCAAAUAAUGAGCUCCUGGAGCCUGUCUGCCAUCAGCUGUUUGAGCUCUAUCGUAGCUCAGAGGUUCGACUUAAGAGGUUCACACUGCAGUUCUUGCCAGAAUUGAUGUGGGUUUAUUUACGGCUUACAGUUAGCCGAGACAGACAGAGUAAUGGUUGCAUUGAAGCACUUCUGUUAGGAAUUUACAAUUUGGAAAUCGCUGAUAAAGAUGGGAACAAUAAAGUUCUGUCUUUCACUAUCCCCUCCUUAUCCAAGCCUUCAAUAUACCAUGAACCUUCAACAAUUGGAUCCAUGGCUUUGACAGAAGGGGCGUUGUGUCAGCAUGAUCUAAUCAGAGUUGUUUAUAGUGAUCUUCAUCCUCAGAGGGAAACGUUCACUGCACAGAACCGGUUUGAAGUCCUGAGUUUUCUCAUGCUGUGUUAUAAUUCUGCUAUUGUAUAUAUGCCUGCCUCAUCUUACCAAUCUCUUUGUCGGAUGGGUUCCAGGUGAGAAGAGUGAUUAUUACUAAUCUUCAUAUUUAUUUGACAGAUAUUUAUUGAGCACAUUCUCUAAGCCAGGCACUGUUCUAACUUCUGGUAUUACAGCAGUAAACAAAACUCAUGGAGCUUGCAUUCCUGUAGGAGUCCUUAUCCUCAUGAGGCUGUUUUUGUUGUUGUUGUUGUUGUUAUGAGAUAGGAUUUCUCUCUGUCACCCAGGCUGGAGUACAGUGGCUCAAUCAUAGCUCACUGUGCUCUCAGCCUUCUUGGCUCAAGGCAUCCUCCCGCCUGGGCCUCCCAAGUAGCUGGGACCACAGGUGUACACCACGACUCUCAGCUAAUUUUUGCAGAGACAGGGUCUUGCUAUGUUGCCCAGGUUUGUCUUGAAGUUCUGGCCUCAAGCAUUCUUGCCACAUCAGCCUUCCAAAGUGCUGCGAGUACAGGUGUGAGCCACCAUGCCUGUCCUCGUGCAUUCUUGAAAAUGCUUUCAGCGUUAAAGAAAUAUUUUCUAGCUGAACGUAGAGUUGUACCAAGACAUCCAAAUCUAGGGUUGUUUAGUGAUAUAUCUUAUUCCCUGGUUGCCAGUUUUUGUAAAUCACUUUGAGAUCUUUGAAAAAAAUAGUGCUGUAUAUGGGGAAAGUCUUAAGGAGUAUGAACCUCUUUCCAUUCAUUUCAUAAAUAACUGUCUCUGUCUUGGAGAAAGUGAUUAGCAAUAGUACCAAUGAUGUGUGUGUCUCAUUUGUAUGUGGGGGGUGGAUAUUCUGUAUCUCAUGGAUUAUAAUCUUUACUAAAUCAUAAUUUCUAAUAAUUUGGACAGACUUAGGCUUAAAUCUUGUUCUGUCACCUAGACUGGAGUGCAGUGGUGCCAUAUUGGCUCAUUCAACCUUUGCCUCUCAGGUUCAAGUGAUCUUCUCACCUCAGUCUUCUGAGUAGUUAGGACUACAGGUGCCCACCACCAUGCUGGGCUUUUUUUUUUUUUUUAAUAGAGACCGGGUUUCACAAUGUUGCACAGGCAGGUCACAAACUCCUGGGAUUAAGUGAUCUGCCUGCCCUGGCCUCCCAAAGUGCUAGGAUUACAGGCAUGAGCCACCGCACCUGGCCUUAAAUUUCUACUAUAGAAAAAACAUAGGCCAGGGUUAUUGGCCCAUGCCUGUAAUCCCAGCACGUUGGGAGGCUAAGGCCUGAGGUCAGGAGUUUGAGACCAGCCUGGCCAACAUGGUGAAACCCUGUCUCUAUACAAAAAUACAAAAAUUAGCUGGGUGGUAGUGCAUGCCUAUAAUCCCAGCUAUUUGGGAGGCUGACGCAUGUGGAUCACUUGAACCUGGGAGGCAGGGUUGCAGUGAUCCAAGAUCACGCCACUGCACCCCAGCCUGAGUGACAGAGUGAGACCUUGUCUC
rnacentral:sRNA from 1 species